ACGUAGGAGACGAGCGUUAUCCGGUUUUACUGGGCGUAAAGAGUGCGUAGGCGGCGCUAUAAGUCUGUUGUAAAAGCUCCCGGCUUAACUGGGAGAGGUCGUUAAAGACUGUAGAGCUAGAGUAAGGCAGAGGUAGAUGGAACUCCGAGAGUAGUGGUGAAAUGCUUUAAUAUCCGGAAGAACACCAGAGGCGAAGGCGAUCUACUGGACCUUAACUGACGCUGAGACGCGAAAGCCAGGGUAGCGAACGG
rnacentral:rRNA from 1 species